UUGAAAGGGAAACGAUUGAAGUCAGUCGUACUGAUAGGAAAUCAACUUCUCGAGUGCUUGUCGUGGAUGACGUUGAGCUUCACGGCCUUCGUUGCUUACGUUAUGGUGCUUUUGAGGUGUACUUUCCGUAUGGUAGGUCAACAUCGAUUUUGAUCGUCAUAAAAUGAUCGGAGGAAUGUGGCUCUGAUCUCGUAUCGGAGUGUUAUAGCCUUUGGUAGAUGUGACGAUUGGGAUCGGGGAUUGCAACGAAUACCCUUUUGGGCUAUCCGUCUGACCUCUGAAAGUCGCUCGGGUGUUGAAAGCGUGCUUAUGACAUUCUAGUUGGCGGUCAAAAGGUUAGAACGUGAUUACAUUCGUUAAGGAUGUUGACGUA
rnacentral:rRNA from 1 species